GUUUAACACAUGCAAGUCGAACGGAAACGAAAAUAGCUUGCUAUUUGGCGUCGAGUGGCGAACGGGUGAGUAACGCGUAGGAAUCUACCCAGUAGAGGGGGAUAGCCCGAAGAAAUUCGGAUUAAUACCGCAUAAUCUCUACGGAGUAAAGAAGGCCUCUUUACAAUGCUUUUACUAUUGGAUGAGCCUGCGUUAGAUUAGUUAGUUGGUAGGGUAAAAGCCUACCAAGGCGACGAUCUAUAGCUGGUUUUACGAGAAUGAUCAGCCACACUGGAACUGAGACACGGUCCAGACUCCUACGGGAGGCAGCAGUGAAGAAUAUUGGACAAUGGGGGAAACCCUGAUCCAGCAAUGUUGCGUGCGUGAAGAAGGUCCGAGGAUUGUAAAGCACUUUCAGUAAGCAAGAAAAAUGUAAAUCUAAUAGAUUUGCAUGUUGACCACUUAUAGAAGAAGCACCGGCUAACUCCGUGCCAGCAGCCGCGGUAAUACGGAGGGUGCGAGCGUUAAUCGGAAUUACUGGGCGUAAAGGGUAAGUAGGCGGUUUAUAAAGUCACAUGGUG
rnacentral:rRNA from 1 species